UUUGUAGCUCAGUGGUAGAGCAUUUGUCCAGUGUGCAUGAGGCCCUGGGUUUGAUGCCCAGCACUAAAA
rnacentral:tRNA from 1 species